CAUGCCGUAAACGAUGAUUACUAGGUGUGGGGGGACUGACCCCUUCCGUGCCGCAGUUAACACAAUAAGUAAUCCACCUGGGGAGUACGGCCGCAAGGUUGAAACUCAAAGGAAUUGACGGGGGCCCGCACAAGCAGUGGAGUAUGUGGUUUAAUUCGAAGCAACGCGAAGAACCUUACCAGGUCUUGACAUCCUGAGGAUCUGGCAGAGAUGCCGGAGUGCCUUUCGGGGAAUUCAGAGACAGGUGG
rnacentral:rRNA from 1 species